rnacentral:rRNA from 1 species
GCUUGCUAUAAUUGUCAGCUAAGUGGCGCACGGGUGAGUAAUGUAUAGAUAACCUGCCCUUAAGAAAGGAAUAACAGUUGGAAACGACUGCUAAUGCCCUAUAUGCCUUUAAUACAUAAGUAUGCAAGGGAAACGCUUUAGUGCUUAAGGAUGGGUCUGUAUGGUAUCAGCUUGUUGGUGAGGUAAUGGCUCACCAAGGCUAUGACGCCUAACUGGUUUGAGAGGAUGAUCAGUCACACUGGAACUGAGACACGGUCCAGACUCCUACGGGAGGCAGCAGUGGGGAAUAUUGCACAAUGGACGAAAGUCUGAUGCAGCAACGCCGCGUGGAGGAUGACACAUUUCGGUGCGUAAACUCCUUUUAUAUAGGAAGAUAAUGACGGUACUAUAUGAAUAAGCACCGGCUAACUCCGUGCCA